rnacentral:lncRNA from 1 species
GAUACUCAAUGCCUUCAGCAAAUCAGAGACUAGCAAGCUGGGAAAACAAAGCUCCUGUGAGGUUAGCCUACUACUCUCUGAAGACGGGACCACGCCCAAAUCCAAGAAGACUCAAGCUGGCCUUUCCCCUUAUCCCCAGAAACCCAGUUCCUCAAAGGACAGUGAGGACACCAGCAAAGAGCCCAGCCUUUCUACCCAGACGUUACCUGUGAUCAAGUGCUCUGGGCAGACUUCAAGACUUUCUGCUUCCUCCACUUUCCAGUCAAUCAGUGACUCCCUCCUGGCUGUGAGCCCAUAACUGGCCUCUCUCCAAAAGCCUCUGCCCAGGAGCAUGGGCAUCAGCUACCUCACGGGAACCAGCCUGCUGUUCAGACCAGUCUGACCCCCUACCCCUUUCACCCUGUCCCUCCUCAGAGUAUUUUUUGAAGUGGUUGCAUUAUAGAGAUGGGUAUUUGUAGGGCCGGAGGGAUGGUAGUGAUGGGGAGAAGGUGAGGAAGGGUCACCCUCUGUCACCUGUCUGCCUGGCUGGCACCUCAUAUCUCAGCAGAGAAGCCAGUGGUGGCCACGCAGCCUUAUAAAGCAGGUUUUGGUUUC